rnacentral:tmRNA from 1 species
GGGGGUGUUCUGGAUUCGACCCUUGGUUGGAGUGUUUGGCUGCCCUUCGCGAGUGUAGGUCUCGCGUUAUAAACUCCUGCACACAAAAAUAAACGGCACCUUCGAAGAAAUGCCCCUCGCAGCCUAAGUGCUGUGACGAUCGCCCAGUGACGUCCACUAGCUGACGUGAUCGACGACAGUGGACAUAGCGCCCAGAGCCACCCGCGGUGUGGGCGCCGUAUCUUCGAUCCGGGGGUUAGUUUGCGUCCUUGCGCGUGCAGUCGCGAGACGCCGGCGAAAUUAAAACGACACUAUAAGGGUAGACGCCAUAUGCGAAGGCCAGGGGCACGCGGGUUCAACUCCCGCCACCUCCACCA